GGACGAUGUCGAUAUUUCAGAAUUAUGUUUUAUCUUGUAGAUCUGAAUAAAGGUAAUGGGAUCAUUUGAAUAACUCGAGAGUAUUCAUCAUGAAUGGUAUAUGUAAUUUUCAAGGCCCUCGAAAGUAGUGUUGUGUUUGUCCUCAUUUGUUCGGUACAGCCCAGUCUUAGGAGUCCUUGGGACCUAUCCUUCGGACUGACAGUAAUACUAGAACUGAUUACAAAGAGAAGAAAUAAAGUUAAGUAGCGUACUCAAGGACCGAACUUUAUAAGCUUUAGGACUCAACUGGACCAGACCGAGAGUAAACUGGAAGGUUCUGCAGUCUUCAAUGCCAAAUAAGGACUGAGACAAAACUACUCAAACGAGGAUUUAGGCAAUUUUCAUAUCCAUAGAAGUAAUCUAAGGAUUGUCAUUUGUCAAAAAAACUCAUAUCAGAGUCGGAAAGCAUGAGAUAUAGAUGAGAAAAUUUGAAACAAAUACUCAAAAAGUACCAAAGAAAAAUGCUAAGACCGAUCCUUGUAAAAAAUAUACACAAAUACAUAAAAAUUAAAAAUAAUAUACCAUUUUUACAAAAACCAAAAUUUAAUAAUUGUUCCAUCAAGUGUUUCAAAAUAAAUAGAUAGAUAAUAUUCGGUAUAUCAUAUCCUAUUUGGACUUGAAAUAGAGCCUUAAAUAGCUUGAACAAUCACCAUUUUUGUUCUCAGUCUCAAGACAAAUAAACCAUCUGCCGAAAAAGCUCUUUUUGAUUUCGCAGAUGUGGGUGGAAUCGAUUCCAAUAGGUGUGUUAGUUUUUGAUAUUAUAAAUACGAAAAAAUAAUUCAUUUGUAAUUUGAUUUCUUGCGGAAAAUGUAAUUUCCCGACAAACAAUGGGAUCCCGGGAGACAAUCUCUAAUACUAUCCACUUAUUCAGUCAUGAUUAAUUAUUGUAAUUUAUAAGUUUGUCAAAUUCAAUUUUGUAAAUAUUUUUUUAAAGCUUACGUAAUCUAUUGUAUUAUAAAAGGCUAAGACACAACACAUUGAGUACCACAUCGUUCCCUAAAAAUAACUUGAGUUUUAGAAUCACAUAACAAUUUUAUCAUAUUUUUUUUUG
rnacentral:lncRNA from 1 species